GUCAGUGGCAUCCACAACACUAGGAGAGGCCUAGGGGGGUCCAGAUAGAAAGAUAGGGGGUCUGGGUGACAGCGAUGGCAUGAAGUCCAACAAGGAAAAUGCUGGGCUCCCUGUGCUGGCUGUCCCUGUUGGAGCAGGGGUUGUGCCACAUGGACCCACAGGGCCCUGCCAACCCCAACUAUUCUGUGGUUCAUUUUCCCUCCUACAGAGACACAGCUUCCUCUCAGAGACCCCCUGUGCUAUUGCUGUGAAGUAGCUGAUGAGUGUUGCCUUGCAAAGCCAGUAUCAUUUUAACACCAGUUUUUCCUGCCCCGCUCUAUGUUUGCUUCCUCCUGCUGUCCAGGCUUUGGCAUUGCUGCUCCCUGACAUGUGCACAUCCGAAGCACCAGGUUGCAGGAUGAUUCUUCUGUGAUGGUGGAGAGCAGAUGAACCUGUGAUGGCCAGGUUCUCCAACUGGCUGCUAGAGAGUGUUUUCCAGGUGCAUUGCAUCUAGUCUGGUUAACGUUUGCACUGGUUUUACUGGCUACACCAUGUCUCCCUUCCAACAAACAGUAGGUGGCAUGUUUGGAUCAGCAAUAGGAGGAAGUCCCAAGUUACUCCACUGCUUGGAAGAAAAAAUGCCACCCCGCGCAGACACAAAAUCCCUGCCCUCUGGAUUAGUGGUCCAAAAGCAUCUCCAGAAUUUUGGUCUCAUUCUCAUUGAAAUGCACUCUGGACAUAUGCAAAUACUUGAAAAACAGCACCGUUUAGAGCAGGCCUUACCUGGACAGGCUAUUUGUGAGCUCCCAGUCCUAAGUAUGGCUUUUUUUUCAGCUCUUAUAGGUUCUGCAGCAGGCUUGGGUCCCACAGCAUUGUACCCACGCAUCUGAGGCCUCAUCCGCCCCAUAUCUGAAGCAUAUCUGAAACAAAGGACAAGAGGCCCACCUGUGGCAUGGAGCAAAACUCAAAGCAAGGGCAGUACAGAAGUGAGGGAUGGGGAAGUAAGCACGCACAUAUAUACAUACCUGUUUUCCUCAACACCAAAUCAUCUCUUUAAAUACCAAGCAGUAGUUAGGAGACACAUAAUUGCUGGGUAAACUAACUCCUUUCUGUUAGAAGUCAGGUGCUCACCUAUUUCCUGUUAGACAAGCAAAAGUCCAUAUGAGAGAAACUAUUCCCAGUUGCUGUCAAACAUCAGUGCUUGCACUUAUCCUAUGGUUGAUAACAAGGACAGAGGGAAAGAAAGACAUGUUGAGGAUUCCCUUUACUGUGUCUCAUCUUACUGCCGAUGUUAAAUCCUCCUCAUAUCCAUGCCCAGGCACCAUGCAGGUCUCUGCAAACAAAGGAUAUAAAGAAAGCUGCUUCUCUGGAUUUGCAUACCUAUUGAGCAUCUGCCCCCCACAUUGGCAAGCUCCUGAUAUUGCUGACAGCUGGAGACACACAGCUUUACAGAUGUGCCAUUUGCGGCUAGAACUGUUACCUGGUGAAAGGAUACGUCUUUGAAACACGAGUCACAUUUGCAUUAGCAGAACAAUUCUGCCAUAAUGACAGGCUUUGAUCUCAGAAGGAUAUUAUUUGCAAACUGGUUGGCUUGCCCUCUCCAGUCUGUUGACUUAUCCACCACGUCUUCAGGGAACCUCCCACAGACACCAGGAGUCUUUCCUUAUCAUUUUUGGUCCAUCUUCUCAUCUUUGCUCCACAGUCAGUUCUCCCUUAUCCCUGUUACAAACUAAUGGAACUGCUCAUUCUCAGAAAUCUGCAAUCUACUCUUUGUGAGAUCACAGAUACACCGAGGCCUUCCAAAGAAGAGAUAUUUAGUGCUGAGAACUCAGCUUUACCUUGUCAAAGUUUACCAGACACACUGAGUUUCACUCGUGUGAAUGUAACAGAAAGAUGGUUAAAGAUUAUUUUGACUUUACAGUUAGGACAGGACAAAGGUUAUUCUGACUUCACCCACCUGAGAUUACCUAUAUUGAUUGCAAGACUGUAAGACCAAGCUAGACUCAACAAAAAUAGUUCUCAAGUAUGCCCGCCUUAAAAAACAGAGUCUUUAGUCACAAAUUUAGUUCUGCCUCCUAAGGAGAUGAUUUAAAACAUACUAUACAUUAAAAAAAAAACAACAACAAAACACUGACCUGACCCAGUAUAGCAAACCCACAGCAGUUAUGGAAAUGAAUUGCACCACUUGGACAGGGUAACGAUGCUGACGAAGUUGCGGUAAGCUGGACAGCUUGCUAACAGUCAUAAUCCUAAAGAUGUGCAGUUUUCCAACUAACCUCUUCACCUCCUUGCUCUCGCUGUUACAGCUGUGCCACCGGCUGGUUGCCUCUGCUGCAGAUGCUGAAAUAUCACCGCUCACAAGGACUCCUAAUCAAAUAUUUUAAAUAUAUUUAUUACAAAACAAAACCCACAGAAUCUAUUGUACAAAGGCACAGUCCAUUAUCUUUACAAAUCUUUAUACAAAAUAGCGGUUAUCUUAAACAACUUCAGCUCUGUUAACAUAAAGAAUCGUUGCAGUUUUGUGACCAGAAAACUGUUUUAACGUGUAAUGGUCUGAAGCGGUGAAAGCCUCAACGGAAAUCUUUCUUACGACAGUUCCAGCCAGGUUCGUUUGUAUCCUAAAGGCCACGUUUGGAAAACAAUUGGUAAAGACCUUCUGAAACAUGACAAAUGGCUUUCAUGAAACAUAACUGUAACGACAAUGCGAAAGUAACGUCAAUUUAAUCCCCAAAUACCUACAGUGUCACCUGUUGGCACUUCUUUAAUGACAUGUAUUUAACAUGUCAAAAUUGCUGCUGAAAUGAAUACGGAAAUGAACGUCCACCUGAAAUACUGCACUGGAGACAAAUAUAUAUAUCCCAGUAUAUUACAAACUCAAGAUAUGUACGCUCUAAAAACCCCUCAGCGGUCAGUUUCAGUCCCACUACUCAUGGAUGCAUUUGAGCUGAGGAGAACCAAACACAGUGUUUACUUAGACUCACUGCAGUACACUCAACAUAGGAUUCUUGGGGCUUCUGUGAUUUAAGGCUUUAAUUUUUUCCCCAGUUGAUGUUUGAGCUGUUUAAAACACAGAAGGCACUUCAGUACUGGGUUUGGUUGUCCUUUGUAGUACCAAAUCCUACAAAAUGAUACACACGUAAAGCUGUAAUUAUUAGGCUGUUUGCAGAAUACACGUUUUAAUAU
ensembl:lncRNA